rnacentral:rRNA from 1 species
AUACGGAAGGUCCGGGCGUUAUCCGGAUUUAUUGGGUUUAAAGGGAGCGCAGGCGGAGAUGCAAGCGUGACGUCAAAUUUCGGGGCUCAACCCCGUCUCGCGUCGCGAACUGCGUCCCUUGGUUGCGGGAAGGGGAGGCGGAACUCGUGGUGUUGCGGGUGAAUGCAUAGAUAUCACGAAGAACUUCGAAUGCGAAGGCAGUCCGCUGGGGCACGUCUGACGCUGAUGCUCGAAGGUGCGGGAAUCAAACAGGAUUAGAUACCCUGGUAGUCCGCACGGUAAACGAUGAUUACCCGCUGUCGGCGGUAGACAGUCGGCGGCCAAGCGAAAGCGAUAAGUAAUCCACCUGGGGAGUACGCCGGCAACGGUGAAACUCAAAUGAAUUGGCGGGG